CUAUGUUGGUACUCAUUGACUUUCAGAAACUGUUACCAAAAAUCUCCCUUAAUACUUUUCCCUUUUGAACUUUUUGAAUUCCCUUUCCCAACACAAGACAAAAUAAGAGUUGACUUGCAUAAUGUAAUUCACAAAAUAAUCGUUUUCCCCAUUACUUUGUUUUGGUGAUCGUUGGGAGCCAAAAUCAUGAUCAAAAUGUGAUUAAUUGCACAGCCCUAUAUCACCGCCCUGGUUCUGGCAUGCUCUUGACAACGCUUCCAUUGUGUUUUUGUGUUGUCAUUCAGACAGAGAUUGGUUUUUUAAACCGUGCUUGUGUGGACCAGAUUUUUUUUUUUAGAACUAAAGGAGGGAAAAAACCCUGUUUCCAAAAAUACCCGUGUAAAUGUGUACUAGGCCUCAGAUCACCUUUGCAGGAGUCUGAAUCAGAACAGUGAACAGCAGAGAGCAGUGAAAACACACUGACACAAAGAUGGCCGUACAGUCAUAAAGCUCCUCCUUCCUCAUUACAAACAUGCAGUAAAAAGGAUGAUGUCACAACAAUGUAUUUUCAUUCAUGCCUUUGCCUAUCUCUGUAUUAGUCACAGUUCAGACGUGAGCCACCACAGUGAAUAUUAUGACUAAAAUGUUUGCCAUUUUGUUUUUGUCUCUGUCUUCUCUAACAGACACUGUGAUGUCGUCGCUUACGAUCCAACAAUCGCCUCCUCUGAUAACACCUGAGCGAGAAGAAGCCCGUCUUGACUGUUACCAUGGAGACAACAACUACCCCUACAUGCUUUGGUACCGGCACAAGUCAGCAGCAGGAGGCCAGAGGGACCUGGAGCUGAUCGGUGUGCUUCAUUACGAAAAAACAAACUUUGAGGAGAACUUUGAAGCACGUUUCAACAUGACGGGCCACUCAAAGGGCCGAGCUCAGCUCGUCAUCUCCAACACAAACCCAGCAGACAGUGCAGAGUAUUUCUGUGCAGCUAGUUAGCACAGUGUUUCAACUCAUCUGGCUCCUUUACAAAUAGCUGGUGGCCCACAGCAACACGCACCUGCAGCAGACCUAAUCUGCCUCGAUAAAGACAGCGGCAUACUUCAGCUGUUGUUUUCUUUCCCUGCUGAGAGGACUAACAAAAGGUUUUAAAAAAUGAUGGAUGAAUCAAACAAAAAACGGACUAUACAUGCACAUGGUGUGCACAAAAACAUCGCAAACACAACUGCUCCAUUCUUCCUUCCGUAUCUCUUUGGUCAUUGUAAUACUGCA